rnacentral:rRNA from 1 species
UACGAAGGGAGCUAGCGUUGUUCGGAAUCACUGGGCGUAAAGCGCACGUAGGCGGCUUUGUAAGUUAGAGGUGAAAGCCCGGAGCUCAACUCCGGAACUGCCUUUAAGACUGCAUCGCUUGAACGUCGGAGAGGUAAGUGGAAUUCCGAGUGUAGAGGUGAAAUUCGUAGAUAUUCGGAAGAACACCAGUGGCGAAGGCGACUUACUGGACGACUGUUGACGCUGAGGUGCGAAAGCGUGGGGAGCAAACAGG